rnacentral:rRNA from 1 species
UACGAAGGGGGCUAGCGUUGCUCGGAAUCACUGGGCGUAAAGCGCACGUAGGCGGACUCUUAAGUCGGUGGUGAAAUCCUGGAGCUCAACUCCAGAACUGCCUUCGAUACUGGGAGUCUCGAGUCCGGGAGAGGUGAGUGGAACUGCGAGUGUAGAGGUGAAAUUCGUAGAUAUUCGCAAGAACACCAGUGGCGAAGGCGGCUCACUGGCCCGGUACUGACGCUGAGGUGCGAAAGCGUGGGGGAGCGAACAGG